GCCAUUUCAUUAACCCUAAAAAUAGAAAAGAAUGAGAUCUGAGAGGAGUGGGAGAGGCGCUCUGCUAGGGUUUUGCGCGCGACCUCCCUCCGCAAACGUUGAUGGCGCGAUGGACCGCUGCUAUGGCAUCGGCGUGGUUAAGGUGGUAGGUCAGUCAUGCAGAGGAAAGGAGAAGACGACUAAAGAGAGAAACAGAGGAAAGUAGAGGGUUAUUGCCGCCACCGGAAAUCGUUUCCGACGGUGGUGCACGGUGGUGUUUAUGAUGGUUUGUCACGGUCGCGCAUGGUAAGGGUCCAUGGAAGAGGCUAAAGGCUAACGAUGCCGCCACCGGAAAUUGCCUUCGAUGGCGGCGCGUGGCGGUGCACGGCGAUACUCGCGAUGGCCGGAAAUCGCUUCCGACAGUGGUGCAUGAUGGUGUUCAGAGGAAGCACCGUUGCAUUCCCUGUUGGUGCCAAGCUCAUGCUUUUGGAAGCAUAUAUGACAGAAGCAUGCUCUUAGGGGCAUGUUGGUGGUUAUGGCAUAUAUUGUUUCCCUCUUCCUUUGUCUUUUUCUGAUUUUCUUUUAUUAUUAUUAUUGUAUAUAUUUUUAUUUAAGUUAAAAUCUGGUUUGUAAAUUACUUGUUAUUAAAUAAUUAAUUUGGAAAUUUUGAGAAAGAAAUUAGUAAAAGGAUUAAUGGAAUAAAAUUGGUGUUUACACUAAGCUUCAUCAUUAACAUCGUCAUCUUUAUGAUCCUCACGCAAACCAUACUCACGCAAACCAUACAUAAGGAACAAUAAGCAAAACAAGGGUUUUGAGAUAUGUCUCCCAAUGUGAGAUAAGGCUAGCUAAUCACACACAUAAAAACUUAUACCAAAUCUUAUAUGUUUAAUAACUUUUUGUAUAAUACAAAUUUAAUUAAUUCAACUAUGUUGAAUUAUUUGAUAUUAUACUCAAAAUCGUGUAUAUCAAAUUUCACAUGAUUUGAAAUUUUCUAGACCUAUUAUCCAAAAAUGAAUAUGUACAUAUAUUUUAAAUAUCAUAUUAUACAUUAAACUAAAGUCAUGUGAUGAAUUACUAAAUAAUUUUGAAAUCAUAUGUAAUAUUAUAUACAUGAUUUGGAUAAUAUCACAUAAUUCAAUGGUUGGAUUAAUUAAAUUUUCAUUAUACAAAAAGUUAUUAAAGAUAAAAAAAUAUGGUGUAAGUUUUUAGACUUAUAUUUGGUGUCAACAAAUCCUAACUCUUUGCACAAUUGUAUUCUCUCUCUUUCUUUGUUAAAAUGUGUGGCAUGUUCAAGAUUGGAAUGGUUAUUAGCCAUGCGCUAAGAAUGAUCUCAAAUAUAUUUUGUGUAUAUUAUUAGGUAGAUCACCAAUUUUAUUUUGGCUAUGAUUUUGCUUUUAAAAAAAUGCUACAUUUUGCAGAAUAGGCCAAAAGUCCAAUAUUUUCAACAAUGUAAUUUUUAUUAGCAUAGGUGUGUUGACUCUUUGAAUGAAAUCAAACCUAGAGAAAGAGAAAAAAAAAUCAGAGAGUAAUACAUGAGUUUUGUGUCUCUUCGUGAAAUGGUGAGAAAAAUUUAUUGAGAAUGAGUAUAGCAAUCAACUUGGAGAAAAAAUGUUUGGUAUUAAUUUUCUAUGUAUUUUGGUUCUUUUUAUUGUUUUGUUAGAUACCCAUUUAAGAUUUUCUUGUAUUGUUAUCCAUCCUAUUAGUGAAGAUUUAUUUCCAGUGAUCUCUAGUGAUUAUAAGAAGACUUGUGGUGCAAUCAUUAAUUAUUAUUAGUGGAUUUUUCUUUUAUUAAAUUAGGUCCCGUGGGGUUUUUUAUUUCACAUUGACAGUUUUCCCAUGUAAAAAUUUGGUGUCUAUUAAUUUUUUUUCUUCUAUUUUAUGCAUA